CACGUAGGGGGCGAGCGUUGUCCGGAAUCAUUGGGCGUAAAGAGCUCGUAGGCGGCUCAGUAAGUCGGGUGUGAAACCCUCAGGCUCAACCUGGGGACGCCACUCGAUACUGCUGUGGCUAGAGUCCAGUAGGGGAGUGUGGAAUUCCAGGUGUAGCGGUGAAAUGCGUAGAUAUCUGGAGGAACACCGGUGGCGAAGGCGGCAUCCUGGACCAACACUGACGCUGAGUGAGCGAAAGCCAGGGGAGCAAACGGG
rnacentral:rRNA from 1 species